rnacentral:lncRNA from 1 species
UCUUGAAAGCUUCCACCGUAUUUUCAUAAAAUAUUUUCUUCCAUAUUUUGAUUUGAUACAUGAAAUAUUUUGAUUUGAAACAUGAAAUAUUUUGGGACAUUUACAUUAUCCCCCCUAACUUUGGUCCGAUCUCAUCUUUACAUUAAAAAACAGUGCUCAACUAUAUCCUUUUUCCGUUAGAUGGCAUUAUGAAAAUAUCCUUUCGUACCCUUUUCGUCCGGUCAAAGUGCCUCCAUGGAAAGUUUCCUCAACAGUUUUGCCCCUGUUUGCAUAUGCCGCUGACACGUGGGCCUCCUCAUCCCUGAAAAAAGGGAAUGAAAAAACUCUCCCUCACCUCUCUCUAUCACUUACAUGUAGGACCCACCCUUGAAGAAAGAAAAGGAAAAAAGUUCUCUCUCACCAAUCUCUCUAUCUCUCUCUCACAUCUCCGGCGGUGCGCACGCGGACAUAUGCAUGCUCGCCGGGGUGAGGUGCCACUCCCACCGGAGCCAUCUGGUCGGCGUUCCACCUGAGCUCCGCGCCACCCCACCACCACCAGUCGUGCUUCCACCACCCCGUCACGGCUGCCCUACCACCCUCCCAUGGCCUCCCAUCCACCCUGCCAUGGUUGCUCUUCCACC